rnacentral:rRNA from 1 species
AGAGUUUGAUCAUGGCUCAGGACGAACGCUGGCGGCGUGCCUAACACAUGCAAGUGGAGCGACGAACCAGGGCUUGCCCUGGGGCUAAGCCGCGAACGGGUGAGUAACACGUGGGUUACCUGCCUCGAUGACCGGGACAACCCGAGGAAACUCGGGCUAAUACCGGAUGUGCCCGCGAGGGGAAAGGAAGCUUCGGCCUCCGCAUCGAGAUGGGCCCGCGGCCCAUUAGCUUGUUGGUGAGGUAACGGCUCACCAAGGCUGCGAUGGGUAGCUGGUCUGAGAGGACGAUCAGCCACACUGGGACUGAGACACGGCCCAGACUCCUACGGGAGGCAGCAGUGGGGAAUCUUGCGCAAUGCGCGAAAGCGUGACGCAGCAACGCCGCGUGGGGGAAGAAGGCUUUCGGGUUGUAAACCCCUUUCAGUUGGGACGAAGCUUCGCCGAUGAAUAGUCGGUCGGAGUGACGGUACCUUCACAAGAAGCACCGGCUAACUACGUGCCAGCAGCCGCGGUAAUACGUAGGGUGCAAGCGUUGUCCGGAAUUAUUGGGCGUAAAGAGCGUGUAGGCGGCCCGAUCAGUCCGCUGUGAAAGUCCAGGGCUCAACCCUGGGAUGCCGGUGGAUACUGUCGGGCUAGAGUCCGGAAGGGGCGAGUGGAAUUCCUGGUGUAGCGGUGAAAUGCGCAGAUAUCAGGAGGAACACCAAUGGCGAAGGCAGCUCACUGGGACGUGACCGACGCUGAGACGCGAAAGCGUGGGGAGCAAACAGGAUUAGAUACCCUAGUAGUCC